GCAUUACUGAGGAGUCCCACAAUAGGACUGAACGGCCGUCCAGUGC
rfam:Schistosoma margrebowiei strain Zambia genome assembly, scaffold: SMRZ_contig0000358